rnacentral:rRNA from 1 species
AGAGUUUGAUCCUGGCUCAGGACGAACGCUGGCGGCGCGCCUAAUGCAUGCAAGUCGAGCGACGCAUUCCUUAGCCCGUAAGGGCGGGUAUGACGGAGCGGCGAACGGGUGCGUAACACGUGACUAAUCUGCCCCGAAGACCGGGAUAGCCCGGGGAAACCCGGAUUAAUACCGGAUGACCUCACCGCAACUCAUGUUGUGGUGAGCAAAGGUUCAGGCGCUUCGGGAUGAGGUCGCGGCCCAUCAGCUAGUUGGUGAGGUAAUGGCUCACCAAGGCAACGACGGGUAGCUGGUCUGAGAGGACGAUCAGCCACACUGGAACUGAGAUACGGUCCAGACUCCUACGGGAGGCAGCAGCAGGGAAUCUUGCGCAAUGGGCGAAAGCCUGACGCAGCGACGCCGCGUGGGGGAUGAAGGCCUUAGGGUUGUAAACCCCUUUCACGAGGGAAGAAACUGACGGUACCUCGAGAAGAAGCCCCGGCCAACUACGUGCCAGCAGCCGCGGUAAUACGUAGGGGGCGAGCGUUGUCCGGAUUUAUUGGGCGUAAAGGGCUCGUAGGCGGCUUGACAAGUCGGCCGUGAAAACCCAGGGCUCAACCCUGGGACGCCGGUCGAUACUGUCAUGGCUAGGGUCCGGUAGAGGGGAAUGGAAUUCCCGGUGUAGCGGUGAAAUGCGCAGAUAUCGGGAGGAACACCAGUAGCGAAGGCGGUUCCCUGGGCCGGUACCGACGCUGAGGAGCGAAAGCGUGGGUAGCAAACAGGAUUAGAUACCCAGGUAGUCCACGCCCUAAACGAUGGAUACUAGGUAUGGGGGGUAUUGACCCCCUCCGUGCCGUAGCUAACGCGUUAAGUAUCCCGCCUGGGGACUACGGCCGCAAGGCUAAAACUCAAAGGAAUUGACGGGGGCCCGCACAAGCGGUGGAGCGUGUGGUUUAAUUCGAUGCUAAGCGAAGAACCUUACCUGGGCUUGACAUGUUGGUAGUAGCGCGCCGAAAGGCGUCGCGAUCCCGGGGUAACUCGGGAAGCCUUCACAGGUGCUGCAUGGCUGUCGUCAGCUCGUG